rnacentral:rRNA from 1 species
GAUGAACGCUGGCGGCGUGCUUAACACAUGCAAGUCGAACGGGAAACCUUUUAAUGAAGCUUCGGCAGAUUUAGCUGGUUUCUAGUGGCGGACGGGUGAGUAACGCGUGGGUAACCUGCCUUAUCCAGGGGGAUAACAGUCAGAAAUGACUGCUAAUACCGCAUAAGCGCACAGGACCGCAUGGUCCGGUGUGAAAAACUCCGGUGGUAUAAGAUGGACCCGCGUUGGAUUAGCUUGUUGGUGGGGUAACGGCUCACCAAGGCGACGAUCCAUAGCCGGCCUGAGAGGGUGAACGGCCACAUUGGGACUGAGACACGGCCCAGACUCCUACGGGAGGCAGCAGUGGGGAAUAUUGCACAAUGGGGGAAACCCUGAUGCAGCGACGCCGCGUGAAGGAAGAAGUAUCUCGGUAUGUAAACUUCUAUCAGCAGGGAAGAUAGUGACGGUACCUGACUAAGAAGCCCCGGCUAACUACGUG